GCCAAUUGGCAGCAGACCCUCCCUCCCAGACCCUCCCACCUCCUGGACAGCUCACUAAGAUGCAGCUUCACAAUGAAUGUAAAAUGGAUGCUGUCCAGGAGGUGGGAGGGUCUGGGAGGGAGGGUCUGCUGCUGAUUGG